UGCAUGUUAAAGGUCAUACAUAAAUCCAUCAGUUUAUUUUAAAAUUUACUCAAGUAUAAAUGAUACUGAAUAUCCUUAAUUUUAUGUAUACUCUUUAUUGCAUAUUGUUGUUUUUCUUUAAAAAAUGUACAGUCUUGUAACAUACACAUCCUGCUAGCUAAAAACACCCGUGUAUCUAAGAUCCACUACAUGGUUUGCUACUCCUAAUCUACUUAGUAUAUUUCAGUUUACAAACUAUCACUUUUUUUCCUCUCUCUUUUUUGGCAUGAUUUUUUUUUUUAAUUACACACCCAGGAGCAAUGCAAAGAGGAAAAUUAUAAUGAAAAUAGAGUGGCUACUUCCACCAGCACCAGUCAAAAAAUGUAAUUUACAACAAAUGGCACAUGGGAUUAACCUGUACAUUUAUUUAAGAAAACAAACAAGAACAAAAAAAACUCUCCCACACAAGCACAAAGAAUUGCAAAUGCAGCCUCCCAAAUAAGGCUUUUGCAGAUCAAGUUUGGUUUGGAAGCACAAGGAAUGGUUUCCACUGGACCCUUGCUUCCUUUGCUUUGUAAUCCAUGUAGUAGAGAUUGCAAGAAAUCCAGGGAGAUCCAUUAAUCCAUCCUACAAAACAGAAACAGCUUCCCCUUGAAGGUAUAUUAACAUUGCUGACAGCACAACACAAAUCAGUCAGCUGUCUCAAUUUGAUACUUGAUGUACUAAAUGCCAAAUAAUUUUUUUGGGGGUGGUAUGUAGUGGGUAGGGGCAACAUUCGUAGAAGUGAUGUGCUUGACUAAUGCACCCAGAUUUAUUCUGGAUCCAAAUAAAACAUUGUGUUUCUUUUGAACAGAUCAGCAUUGAGUAUUAUAAGGUUUUCAAGCCAGAACCGAAAUUGUUGUUUCUUUAAAGAAGUUUUUCCCUAUCUUGGUAACUUUUAAGAUUUGUGGGCUUCAAACUCCCAGAAUUGGUCAGGCAGCUGUGGGAGUUGAAGUCCACAUAUCUUAAAAGUUGCCAAGGCUGGGAACUUUCUAAGGGCUUCCACUUUAAUUUGUACUGAAUUUCACCUUCUGACUAAUCUCAUCUGAUUUGCAGUAGGGUGAUUAAACAAGGUAAGCUGAUAGGGAUCCUCCCAAAACGAAUGUGUGCCUAUCCAACAUACGCACACAAACAUCCCUGCUGAAAACAUGACAAAAAGAAUUAUCUAAAUAAUUUUCCAGUUUGUAGUGUAUUUCUGGAUAGCUCCACUGGAAAAUCCAAGCACUGCCUCAGCAGUGUUAGUCUGCACAAUGUGUAAUCUGCAGGAUGCCCUGGAUCACCAGAGACAUCGCACUAUGUCUACUCCAGCCUCAUUUACAGCUUGAAGGAACUGGUCAAAGAUGCCAAAGAACUCAUCUGGUUGGGUUUUGCCAGAAUCUUCUCCAAAAUGCUUCACUGCCUUGAUAAACUAAAGAAAGAAACUACAACCUUGUGAAGAUACGUUGGGCUUUCAUGACUAAGAUGGACUUGAACUCUCGAUCUCUUGCUUUCUAUCCUGAUGUCUUAACCAUUCAACCAAACUGGCCAAGCACUUCCUCUA